UACAGAGGGUGCGAGCGUUAAUCGGAAUUACUGGGCGUAAAGGGCGCGUAGGCGGCCGCCUAAGUCAGACGUGAAAUCCCUCGGCUUAACCGGGGAACUGCAUCUGAUACUGGAUGGCUUGAGUUCGGGAGAGGGAUGCGGAAUUCCAGGUGUAGCGGUGAAAUGCGUAGAUAUCUGGAGGAACACCGGUGGCGAAGGCGGCAUCCUGGACCGACACUGACGCUGAGGAGCGAAAGCCAGGGGAGCAAACGGG
rnacentral:rRNA from 1 species